CCUCGGGAGGCUGCAGUGGGGAAUAUUGGACAAUGGGCGAAAGCCUGAUCCAGCCAUGCCGCGUGUGUGAAGAAGGCCUUCGGGUUGUAAAGCACUUUCAGUGGGGAAGAAAGCCUUGGGGCUAAUACCCUCGAGGAAGGACAUCACCCACAGAAGAAGCACCGGCUAACUCCGUGCCAGCAGCCGCGGUAAUACGGAGGGUGCGAGCGUUAAUCGGAAAUACUGGGCGUAAAGCGCGCGUAGGCGGUCUGAUAAGCCGGUUGUGAAAGCCCCGGGCUCAACCUGGGAACGGCAUCCGGAACUGUCAGGCUAGAGUGCAGGAGAGGAAGGUAGAAUUCCCGGUGUAGCGGUGAAAUGCGUAGAGAUCGGGAGGAAUACCAGUGGCGAAGGCGGCCUUCUGGACUGACACUGACGCUGAGGUGCGAAAGCGUGGGUAGCAAACAGGAUUAGAUACCCCAGUAGUC
rnacentral:rRNA from 1 species